CAGGGAGACAACAAAAUGUUUAAUAUUAUUAUUUUGUCACCUUAGGUCGAUCGGUAUCUCACGUUCUUAAUUUAAUUAAGAAUUUCAUUUCCUAAGUUUUUCUAGGUCACACCCAUUAUUUUCCUGGGCCAUUAGCUCAGGUGGUUAGAGCGCACCCCUGAUAAGGGUGAGGUCCCUGGUUCAAGUCCAGGAUGGCCCAUAUCUCUAUGUUGGGGGUAUAGCUCAGUUGGUAGAGCGCCUGCUUUGCAAGCAGGAUGUCAGCGGUUCGAGUCCGCUUACCUCCACUGAUUACCACCUCUUCCAUAAUUUUUAAGAAGGGAAAUGUAAUGAGUAGUGCCCAAUUUCUGAACGAAUCUAGCUUCCUGAUGAAUCCAUUAAGAUGCUGGACUCAUUGAAUUAAUUUCAUUGUUUUCAGAGAACCUUGACAACUGCAUAGAUUAUUUUAAAGACAAUAAGCAUCUUUAUGAUGCAGAUUUAUUAUUUGUGCUUAAUGCAUUAAUAACAAUUCUAUUAAGCUGAUGCUUCAAUUUUUGAAGUUAUU
rnacentral:tRNA from 1 species